rfam:Felis catus isolate Cinnamon breed Abyssinian chromosome A3, whole genome shotgun sequence.
GCCUGGGUGGCUCAGUCGGUUGAGCGUCUGACUUCGGCUCAGGUCAUGAUCUUGUGGUGUGUGAGUUUGAGCCCCGCGUCAGGCU